GUACCGUGAGGGAAAGGUGAAAAGAACCCCGGAGAGGGGAGUGAAAUAGAACCUGAAACCGUAUGCGUACAAGCAGUGGGAGCAUCCUUCGGGGUGUGACUGCGUACCUUUUGUAUAAUGGGUCAUCGACUUGGUCUAUCUAGCAAGCUUAAGCCGUUAGGUGUAGGCGCAGCGAAAGCGAGUCUUAAUAGGGCGAAUGAGUUAGGUGGAUCAGACCCGAAACCGAGUGAUCUAGGCAUGACCAGGUUGAAGGUGCAGUAACAUGCACUGGAGGACCGAACCCACAUCUGUUGAAAAAGAUCGGGAUGAGUUGUGCCUAGGGGUGAAAGGCCAAUCAAACUCGGAGAUAGCUGGUUCUCUGCGAAAUCUAUUUAGGUAGAGCGUCAUCCGAAUACCCUCGGGGGUAGAGCACUGGAUGGGUAAUGGGGACUCACCGUCUUACUGAUCCUAACCAAACUCCGAAUACCGAGGAGUACUAGAUGGCAGACACACAGCGAAUGCUAACGUCCGUUGUGGAGAGGGAAACAACCCUGACCUACAGCUAAGGCCCCCAAUUCAUGGCUAAGUGGGAAAGCAAGUGGGACGACCAAAACAACCAGGAGGUUGGCUUAGAAGCAGCCAUCCUUUAAAGAUAGCGUAACAGCUCACUGGUCUAAUUAAGUUGUCCUGCGGCGAAGAUGUAACGGGGCUCAAGCCAUGAGCCGAAGCUUAGGAUGUAAUUUAUUACAUGGUAGCAGAGCGUAGUGUGACAUAGUUCCACGUGUUUUUGAUCCCUUCGGGGUGAUUGAACACAUGGAGCUUUCUGUGAAGCCGGCGCGUGAGCGAUCCGGUGGAGAGAUCACUAGUGAGAAUGAUGACAUGAGUAGCGACAAAGAGUGUGAGAGACACUCUCGCCGAAAAUCCAAGGGUUCCUGCUUAAAGCUAAUCUGAGCAGGGUAAGCCGACCCCUAAGGCGAGGCCGAAAGGCGUAGUCGAUGGGAACCAGGUUAAUAUUCCUGGGCCAGAUGGUAGUGACGGAUCUCGAGGGUAGUUCAUCCUUAUCGGAUUGAAUGGGCUGCUUAGAGGUUCCUGGAAAUAGCUCCAUCGUUAGAUCGUACCCUAAACCGACACAGGUGGAUUGGUAGAGAAUACCAAGGCGCUUGAGAGAACUAUGUUGAAGGAACUCGGCAAAAUAGCUCUGUAACUUAGGAAGAAGGAGUGAUAAAAUUAUAUUUUAUUGACACUAAAGAAGGAGAAGCGACUGUUUAAUAAAAACACAUGUCUCUGCUAAUUCGAAAGAAGAUGUAUAGGGGCUGACACCUGCCCGGUGCUGCAAGGCUAAAUGCGAUUGUUUAGGCAAUCAAUUGAAUUCCCAGUAAACGGCGGCUGUAACUCUGACGGUCCAAAGGUAGCGAAAUUCCUUGUCGGGUAAGUUCCGACCUGCAUGAAUGGUGUAACGACUUCUCCGCUGUCUCCAACAUAGGCUUGGUGAAUUUGAAAUAUCCGUGAAGAUGCGGAUUAAUUGCAGCUAGACGGAAAGACCCCGUGCACCUUUACUAUGAUUUUAAGUUGUAAAGUUUUAAUUUUUGUGUAGAAUAGGUGGGAGUAAAAAACAUCAAGUGAAAUACCACCCUUAAAUUUUAGCUUUACUUAAUUUUAUAAACAGCUUAUGAGAGGUAGUUUGACUGGGGCGGUCACCUCCUAAAAAGUAACGGAGGUGUACAAAGGCAGAUUUAAAUAUUAAUUUAUUUUUAAACGUAAUGGUGUAUAUCUGCUUAACUGAUAAGAUUAACAAAUCAAACAGGGAUAAAAUUUUUUUAAAUUUAGUCGGUCAUAGUGAUCUGGUGAAUUUGAGUAGAAAAUUCAUCACGCAACGAAUAAAAGGUACGCCGGGGAUAACAGGCUUAUAAUUUUUGAGAGU
rnacentral:rRNA from 1 species